rnacentral:tRNA from 1 species
GCCGGUAUAGCUCAGUUGGUAUAGAGCACCUGACUUGUAAUCAGGGGGUCCCGAGUUCGACUCUUGGUGCCGGCACCA